AGACCUUGGCAGAGAGCGCCCUGGGAAAUGCGGAUAUAGAAGGUCAGGAGAACAUCUCUCCUGGUUAUACAGCAUUCCAGGACUCCUCAUCUGUUUUUAAGAGGGAAAUCUGAGUUUUCAAGGAAAGCCGAAUACAGUUGCCAAGUUGCCAGUCAAAGAAACAAUGUCAACACCUGCUCAUAGAGAUGGAAUUCCUAACCCGGAAUAUUGCCCUUGAAUUACAACGAGAAAAAGAACACUUCUUAUUCCUGUAGCACCUCUUCAAGUGAGAUGGCAGACCACCUCAGGAUGGAAAUGUAUUUCUUCAUCCCCCUCUCUACUUCCCUGUGACCUCCUGCAAAUAAGAUAUUCAUGGAUCCAAGCCUACCUAUGUGAAGUCUGGUUGUAGAGGUGAGGCCAUGUGGAAGGCAGUUUGCAAACUCUAUCAGCCACCUGUACAGGUGAUGAUAUGGACAGGAGACAGGGACAUACUAGGGAGAGACAAAGAGAAGAGCAGAAGAACAGAAGAAUGGAGUGGCAAAGAGAAGAGAAGGAGUGACUGAACAUUGACAAGACUUUGGUUGGGGAUGGUCAGAGAGGAGAUUAGCUGCUAGACGGCCACACUGCGGAGAAAGAUCAUUUUCCCACUCCAUCCCCCUUCCAGCUCCCCAUCCAUCUCACCAAGAGCCAGCUCCACCACUCAAUAAAACCUUACAUUCAUCUUUCAAGUCUGUGUGUGACCUGAUUCUUCCUGGAUGCUGGACAAGGACUUGGGUAUCAAGAGGGCACUGAGCUGGUUAACACUUAAGCUGUUCAUGGACAACAAGGCUAGCACUGUAACACGCUGACUGGGGCUUUGGGAGUCAUGGACACCCACCCCUAGAUGCUGCCAUGGGGCUGGAACCCAGGGGUGCUCAUCCCAGCUCCUACACCUGCCCAUCUGUGUGCUCCCCAGCCUGUAAGGAGUUUAAGCACACAGCACCAGAAUAAAUGAGGCAUAUCCCUGUUGCUCAUCCUGCAAGGGGGUUCAGGGAACUCUCCCAUUUCAGUGAGAUGGGUUGAAAUGUGUUUAGUUGAAUAUCUGGAGCCAUCUAAACCUCAGAAAUAAAACCCCAGUUGACUCAAAGUCAGCAAGUUGGAGGUCAUGACCUUCAGUUCUUUAUUUAUUUUUUUUUUUUGGGAAGGAGUCUUGCUCUGCCACCAGGCUAGAGUGCAGUGGCACGAUCUUGGCUCACUGCAAGCUCUGCCUCCCAGGUUUAAGCAAUUCUCCUGCCUCAGCCUCCCAAGUAGCUGGGACUACAGGUGUGUACCACCACGCCCAGCUACUUUUUUUUUGUAUUUUUAGUAGAGACAAGGUUUCACCAUGUUGCCAGGAUGGUCUCAAUCUCUUGAUGCCGUGAUCUGCCCGCCUUGGCCUCCCAAAGUGCUGGGAUUAUAGGCAUGAGCCACUGUGCCCAGCCCCAUGACAUGCAGUUCUGAUUUUGUUUGAGAGCACUCCUGCUUGGAGACUGAAGAUUGUUGCUUAGAACUUCAACUGCAGAGCAUUCAGUUCUUCUGGAAAUAAUACUGCAUUCAUUUCCUGGGGUCACUGUCACAAAGUCUCACAAACUGAGUGUCUUGAAAACAGAAUUUUAUUGUCUCAUACUUCUGGAGGCUGGAAGUCUAAGAUCAUGGUGUCGGUACUGGCAGGGUUGGUUCCUUCUGAGGCUGUGAGAGAGAAUCUGUUCUGCCACUCUCUGAGCUUCUGGUAGCCUCAGGCAUCCCUUGGUUUG
rnacentral:lncRNA from 1 species